rnacentral:rRNA from 1 species
GAUGAACGCUGGCGGCGUGCCUAAUACAUGCAAGUCGAACGAAACUUCUUUAUCACCGAGUGCUUGCACUCACCGAUAAAGAGUUGAGUGGCGAACGGGUGAGUGACACGUGGGCAACCUGCCCAAAAGAGGGGGAUAACACUUGGAAACAGGUGCUAAUACCGCAUAACCAUAGUUACCGCAUGGUAACUAUGUACAAGGUGGCUAUACUACCGCUUUUGGAUGGGCCCGCGGCGCAUUAGCUAGUUGGUAGGGUAAAGGCUUACCAAGGCAAUGAUGCGUAGCCGAAUUGAGAGGUUGAUCGGCCACAUUGGGACUGAGACACGGCCCAAACUCCUACGGGAGGCAGCAGUAGGGAAUCUUCCACAAUGGGCGAAAGCCUGAUGGAGCAACGCCGCGUGGGUGAAGAAGGUCUUCGGAUCGUAAAACCCUGUUGUUAGAGAAGAAAGUGCGUGAGAGUAACUGUUCACGUUUCGACGGUAUCUAACCGGAAAGCCACGGCUAACUACGUG